UGGCGACCGGCAAACGGGUGCGGAACACGUACGCAACCUUCCCAAAACUGGGGAAUAGCCCUCCGAAAGGAGGAUUAAUACCCCGUAAGAUAAUGGAGUGGCAUCACUUUAUUAUUAUAGCUACGGCGGUUUUGGAUGGGCGUGCGCCUGAUUAGGUAGUUGGCGGGGUAACGGCCCACCAAGCCUUCGAUCAGUAACUGGUGUGAGAGCACGACCAGUCACACGGGCACUGAGACACGGGCCCG
rnacentral:rRNA from 1 species